UCAAAUCAUCAAAGGCAUGUCAUACGCAUAGAACCAAAUCAUAAACUAAUUCAUAUAAACAAUGAGAACAAUUAUAUACAAUACAUGUGCAUUGCACUGUAGAAGAGAGAAUAGCAACUAAGGCUAUCGAAAACCAGAUAAUGUGAAGAAUAUAACCAUAGAGAAUUCUCUAAAUACCCACUACACAAUCAUGAACUCCCAGUUCUCUAAACAAUACUCCAUAACAGUCCUGAAAUAAAUCAUGCAGCAUGUUAUCACUAAUUUUCAAAUCAUCGAAGGUAGGUCAUACGCAUACAACCAAAUCAUAUACUGAUUCAUAUAAACAAAGAGAACAAUUAUAUACAAUACAUGUACAUUGCACUGUGGAAAAGAAAAUAGCCACAAAGGCUAUCGAAAACCAGAAGAUGUGAAGAAUAUAACCAUAGCGAAUUCUCAAAAUACCCACUCCACAAUCAAGAACUCCCAGUUCUCUAACUAAUACACCAUAACAUUCCUCAAAUAAAUAAUGCAGCAUGUUAUCACUCAUUAUCAAAUCAUCAAAGGCAGGUCAUACGCAUACAACCAAAUCAUAAACUAAUUCAUAUAAACAAUGAGAACAAUUAUAUACAAUACAUGUGCAUUGCACUGUAGAAGAGAACAUAAGCCACCAAGUUCUAUAAUACCCUUCAAUUCCUCGAUUCAGAAAUAUCAGUUACCGAAUUAGCACACGGUAGCCAAUCUCAUAGGCACCGCUUUCCCUCUCUCGGUAUCACCAAUUCCAUCAGCCACGAUCCUAACAACCUUCUUAAACGCAAAAUGCACGCAAUUCGACAGCGCAAUCCAAUAUAUCACCUCAUAAACAAACCCAUAAGCGAAACCCGAAGACUGGGAAGAAAACCACCAUGAAGGUUCAUCCCAAUCGUGCCCUCCGAAUUUAUCAAAAUUCCACCCUCUCCCCCCACCACCAAAACCUCCUCCAUCCCCGCCCCCGCCCCCACCAAAAAGACCAUCACCGCCGCAAAAAAACCCAUAAUCCUCUCCGAAACCACCGGAGUCUCCGUCAGUUUGCGAUCUCCGCCUGGUCCGCCGCCGCUUUCGGAGGAGAGUGCGGCGUGAGGUUUUGGAUUUGACAGGCGGCGGAGCCAAGGCAUCAACGACGACGGAGCAGAUUUGAGAGGAUUGAUCUGCGAGGUUGAUGCAAUUUUGGCGGUAGAGAAGAAGCGAGUUUGCAGACCCUAGGGUUUGUUGUGUAGCUAUUGUCAAUGUAUCGGCGAUUAGAGAGACGUCCAUCAGGAUUCCUUUAUUGUUGUUGUUAUUGAAAAUUGAAAGAAUUAAGAAUUUCGAAUUUGGUUGGUUGGUUAAGGUUUGGGAAUUAGAUUUUCCGGGAAAAUGAGAAGGAAAAUAGAAUGUUGCAACUGAAACGGACAGAAUUAAUGCGUGGAUUGCGUGACGUGUUGACUGUUGUUGUGUGUUGGCUAGGCGGGUUUUGGGUCAAAAAACGGAAUCCACAUCGAAGCGG
rnacentral:lncRNA from 1 species